rnacentral:sRNA from 1 species
CCUUUUUCUGUCUUCUUUAUGGAACCAUUUGCACCUAUUAUAUCACCAAUAUCAAUAAUUGUCUUCAGUUGUUCAAACUGUUCCUCAGUAAGGCUGUCUUUCUCACAGAACUAACCUGAAUAGUCCCGGAAUCGUCUCUUACGGUCAUAAAAACAAGCUUUCCAAACGCUCUUCGGGCGACAAUCCUCCCAGCAAUGGACACCGCCACGUCCGCGCAGACCUCGCCAUUCUCGAGAUGGGUGUACCCAUCCUGAAGCUCCUUGGUAGUGUGAGUCCUGUCCCACUUGUACGCGUACGGCUCGUAGCCCUUCCCUCUCAGCUCCUCAACCUUUUUGAGGCGAAUGGCGCGGAUGGAUUCGCGGUCGGAGGUGGAGGACGAGGACGAGGAGGCGCUUCGGCGGCGGCGGUCCUGAGGUGGGGGCGGGGGCGGCUUCGUGGUGG